UACGUAGGGGGCAAGCGUUGUCCGGAUUUAUUGGGCGUAAAGAGCGUGUAGGCGGUCUGGUAGGUCCGUUGUGAAAACUCGAGGCUCAACCUCGAGACGCCGAUGGAAACCCUCAGACUAGAGUCCGGAAGAGGAGAGUGGAAUUCCUGGUGUAGCGGUGAAAUGCGCAGAGAUCGGAAGGAACGUCAAUGGCGAAGGCAGCCACCUGGCAUGAUACUGACGCUGAGGCGCGAAAGCGUGGGGAGCGAACAGG
rnacentral:rRNA from 1 species